GAUGAACGCUGGCGGCGUGCCUAACACAUGCAAGUCGAGCGAACAGAUGCGGAUCUUGCUCCUCUGACGUUUGCGGCGGACGGGUGAGUAACACGUGGAUACUCUACCUAUAUGACUGGGAUAACUUCGGGAAACCGGAUCUAAUACCGUAUAAUAUCUUGAACCGUAUUGUUCAAUAGUGAAAUACGGUUUUUCUGUCUCUUAUAGCUGCUUCCCGGCUGCAUUAGAUAGUUGUUAAGGUAACGGCCUACCACGGCGACGAUGCGUAGACGACGUGAGAGGGUGGUCGGCCACACUGGAACGGGGACACGGACCAGAGGACUGCGAGACGCAGCAGUAGGGAAUCUUACGCAAUGGGCGGAAGCUUGACGGAGCAAGGCCGCGUGAGUGAUGAAGGUCUUCGGAUCGGAAAACUCGGUUAUGAGGGAAGAACAAAUGUGUAAGUAAAUAAGCACGUAUUGACGGUACCGAAUCAGAAAGCAACGGCUAACUACGUG
rnacentral:rRNA from 1 species